CGUCCGUAUCCGAGCGGAAUAAGAAGCGGCUUACGGUUCACGCUAUUGUUUGAACAUACACUAAACAAUGUAUUUUUUCCAAAUAUGGAAGCGCGAUUAUGUCAACGCGUGUGUUUUGUUUUUAAAUAAUGUGCGACGCUGAGCGCAUUGCGCAUCGCAAUGUACUUAGCGGGUUUGCUUUUAGCAUUUCAAUUUACUUGGAUCCGGGAACAUUUCACAUUAUUCUGUAUUUCCAAACAUAUCAUCAUUAUGUUGAACCAUCAAGUCAAGGUACUUAAGUAGAUAUUAUUCAGAUAAACCUAAAUUGAAUUCAGAUUCAAUAAACAUAAGAACAUAAACGCCGUGUGGUGCGGGUGCGACUGCAGGUGUUGCAUCAGCGGAAAGGUUGCAGUACCUGUACAGUGGUUACAUCAAGUGCUGAUUGCGUUCCACUCUUAACCAAUGUGGAAUAUAUGAGACAGGAGACAACCCUGCGACGUUACUGUACCUACUUAGAUCAAUGAGUUGCUAUUAUGAAAUUAAAAUUGCAUGUUAUGUCACGCACAUGAGUAUUGACACUGUACUCACGACAUCGUAUAAUGACAGACAAUGGUGUUGAUAAAGGCAAUGGUGUCAAGGAUAGGUGCGUAAAAAGUUCCGGCAACUUCGUGGAAAAGCCCAUUUUCGUAGUGAGUAUGCGUGGGCGCGCAGGCGCACGUGGUCCACGGGCCAAGGGGCAGAGGGAGGGGAACUUGGAUUGGGAGUCGCUGACCGCCCUGGGGAUAGGGCCACCAGCAGUGAAGGAUAUUUAGUACACAAACUCAAAAGUUUAAAGCCAGUAGUAGCCAGCAUCUUUGCCACAGUCCACACCCAAACCUAUUCGUCUUUACGAUUACGACUACGCUUUCCUAACUAUAUCUCAAAGCAGUUACUUUUUCAGUUGACCACUGUCUGUCUUACUUAGUAACCAUAUAAAAUAAUUAUAUAAGUAGUUAGUUUGAAUGUACCUACUGAUAAUUAAAUAUUGGUAACUAACAAAUAAAUAUACUAGCAUGAUGAGUAAGCUUUCUUAAGGAGUUUUAUG